AUGUGUGAUGCCCGUCCCACCCUGACGGUGCUGCCCCCCUCCACUGAGCAGCUGCAGCAGGGGAAGGCCACGCUCCUGUGCCUGGCCAACAAGGGCUUCCCCUCAGACUGGAGUCUGGCCUGGAAGGUGGACGGCAGCAGCAGCAGCAGCAGCAGCAGCAUCAGCUGGGAGCAGAGCAGCAGCCCCGGGGUGCUGGAGAAGGACGGCCACUACAGCUGGAGCAGCACCCUGAGGCUCUCUGCAGACCAGUGGAGGAAGGUGGGCUCUGUGACCUGUGAGGCCACCCAGGGCUCCCAGACUCCGCUCUCAGAGACUCUGAGGAGAGACCAGUGUCCCCAGUCCUGAUCUGACUCACUGGUUUUACUCUGCUACUGCUCUCAGUCUGCACUCUUUCUCUGUUUCUCUCAUGAUGUUUCAACAUUAACUUGUUCUUGCUUGUGUUGUUAGUUUUAACAUUUUCAAACAAUAAAGAAUUACAUCGUAUAUUA